GGCUCUGUAGUGUAAUGGUUAGCACAUCUGCUUUACACGCCCAAAGCCCUGGGUUCGUGCCCCAGAUGGAGCCA
rnacentral:tRNA from 1 species